rnacentral:rRNA from 1 species
UACGUAGGGGGCUAGCGUUGUCCGGAAUCAUUGGGCGUAAAGAGCGUGUAGGCGGCCCGGUAAGUCCGCUGUGAAAGUCGGGGGCUCAACCCUCGAAUGCCGGUGGAUACUGUCGGGCUAGAGUGCGGAAGAGGCGAGUGGAAUUCCUGGUGUAGCGGUGAAAUGCGUAGAUAUCGGGAAGAACACCCGUGGCGAAGGCGGUUCUCUGGGACGGUACUGACGCUGAGACGCGAAAGCGUGGGGAGCGAACAGG